rnacentral:rRNA from 1 species
AAUCAACGCUGGCGGCGUGCCUAACACAUGCAAGUCGAGCGAGAAAAGGGGGGCAACUCCCUGAGUACAGCGGCGCACGGGUGAGUAACACGUGGGUAAUCUGCCCUGGAGUGGGGAAUAACACCGGGAAACCGGUGCUAAUACCGCAUACGAUCACGGAGUCUGCGGAUUUUGUGAUGAAAGGAGCAAUUCGCUCUAGGAGGAGCCCGCGGCUGAUUAGCUAGUUGGUGAGGUAAUGGCCCACCAAGGCAACGAUCAGUAUCCGGUCUGAGAGGACGGUCGGACACACUGGAACUGAGACACGGUCCAGACUCCUACGGGAGGCAGCAGUGGGGAAUUUUUGGCAAUGGGGGCAACCCUGACCAAGCAACGCCGCGUGGGUGAUGAAGUCUCUUGGGACGUAAAACCCUUUCGACGGGGACGAAACCGCAAGGUUGACGGUACCCGUAGAAGAAGCCCCGGCUAACUCCGUGCCAGCAGCCGCGGUAAAAC